GACGAACGCUGGCGGCGUGCUUAACACAUGCAAGUCGAACGGAAAGGCCCUGCUUUUUUGGUGUGCCCGAGUGGCGAACGGGUGAGUAACACGUGAGUAACCUGCUCUUGACUUUCGGGUAGCUUCAGGUAACUGGAGCUACGAUCGUAUAGGAGCUCCUGUUGCAGGGUGGGGGUGGGAAAGUUUCGGCGGGUGGGGAUGGACUGGCGGCUUAUCGGCUUGUUGGUGGGGGAGUGGCUUACCAAGGCUUUGACGGGUAGCCGGCCUGUGAGGGUGACCGGGGACAUGGGGACUGAGAUACGGACCAGACUCCUACGGGAGGCAGCAGUGGGGAAUAUUGCACAAUGGGCGGAAGCCUGAUGCAGCAACGCCGCGUGCGGGAAGACGGCCUUCGGGUUGUAAACCGCUUUCGCCUGUGACCAAGCGUGAGUGACGGUAAUGGGUAAAGAAGCACCGGCUAACUACGUG
rnacentral:rRNA from 1 species